rnacentral:rRNA from 1 species
UACGGAGGGUGCGAGCGUUAAUCGGAAUUACUGGGCGUAAAGGGUGCGUAGGUGGUUUGAUAAGUUAUCUGUGAAAUCCCUGGGCUUAACCUAGGCAGGUCAGAUAAGACUGUUGGACUGGAGUAUGGGAGAGGGUAGUGGAAUUUCCGGUGUAGCAGUGAAAUGCGUAGAGAUCGGAAAGAACACCAACGGCGAAAGCACUCUGCUGGGCCGACACUGACACUGAGAGACGAAAGCUAGGGGAGCGAAUGGG